GUCCCCACUUCAUUAGAUUUCUCUGCUUUUAGGUGGGUUUGACUCUGCAGCGAUAGUUGACAAUCGGUCCUGUUUUCUAUGUAUAAAUCAUGAAGUCAGUACCCGGAUUCUCUACGCAUUCGAAUUUGGUCCAAUUCAACGCAACAAGGCGGAUUUAUAGUGAUAGCCGUGAAGGGGAUGGAGAGUGUUGGAGCUGAAGCACCGAAUAUGGGAGAGAGGGAAUUCAAGUCAUGUGAUCGAGAUGGUGUCUCGCAUCUUUCUCUUGAUAUAGGAGGUUCUUUAAUAAAGAUGGUUUACUUCUCAAGUGGCAGUAGCUCCUCCUCUGAUGAUAAGAAAGACAGCUAUUUAAAGGAUGGAACUAACACAUCCAUUGGAACCUCCAAUCAUAAUGGCCUAAGAGGGAAGCUUCACUUUCUGAAGUUUGAAACAAGCAAAAUCGAUGAAUGCAUCAAGUUCAUAUCUUCUAAGCACCUUCAAAAUAAUGGUGGUCAGGGUGAUAAGGACCUUGCCAGUGAGGAAAUUAUUAUUAAGGCCACGGGUGGGGGGGCAUUUAAGUUUGCUGAUUUAUUCAAAGAAAAGCUAGGUAUUGUUCUGGACAAGGUAGAUGAAAUGAGCUGCCUUGUUGCUGGAGCCAAUUUCCUGCUUAAGGCAGUGAACCAUGAAGCAUUUACCUAUAUGGAUGACCAGAAGGACUAUGUCCAGAUCAACCACAAAGAUCUGUACCCUUAUCUCCUAGUUACUGUGGGAUCUGGAGUCAGCAUGAUCAAGGUGGAUGGCGACAACAAUUUUGAGCGAGUCAGUGGAACAAGUGUUGGUGGUGGCACAUUCUGGGGUUUGGGAAGACUUUUGACCAAGUGCCAAAGUUUUGAUGAGCUGUUAGAACUGAGUCGCCAAGGAAAUAACAGAGUGAUAGACAUGCUCGUUGGAGACAUAUAUGGUGGAACAGAUUACUCGAAGAUUGGUCUUACGUCAACGACAAUUGCUUCUAGCUUCGGUAAGGCAAUAUCUGCAAACAAAGAGCUUGAUGAUUACAGACCUGAGGAUGUAGCCAGGUCCCUACUAAGAAUGAUCUCAAACAAUAUUGGACAGAUUGCUUAUUUGAACGCAUUACGUUUUGGAUUGAAGAGGAUAUUUUUCGGAGGAUUUUUCAUUCGAGGACAUGCAUACACAAUGGACACACUUUCAGUUGCAGUUAAUUUCUGGUCGAAAGGUGAAGCAAAAGCUCUAUUUUUGCGGCACGAAGGGUUUCUUGGGGCACUGGGAGCUUUUAUGAACUACAAGAAAAAUGGAUUUACAGAUAUCACACAUCAAUUUAUGGAACAAUCCUGCGAAAUCGGACAAGAUUUGGUCUGCAAAGAUGAAGAUAUUUAGUGAUGUGUUUCUCAGCACCGACACAGUAAAGUCGAACCUAACCCCAUAGGUGUCGGUAGAAUGUAUAGCAAUUACUUGCUGCAGUGCCGAGUUAACUUUGCACUUUGCAGCAUAGUAUAUUAACAUACAAAUCCUAGAGAAUUAAGAUUUCCAACCCACACCCUCUAUCUAGUUUAAUGGAGAGGGAUAUCACAAGUAGUUUCUUCUUGUUGUUAUAUUAUUAUCCACAGAAUAUUACUGCAUGUAUCCUUAGUCAGAAAUUAUUUGACUGGCGGGGAUUGAUGCUAUUCUCAUUGUUUUGCUCUCUAAGAACUUGUUUACAGUCUCAAGUUAACCUUAUCAUAUUUAAUAGUAAUAGAGUUUGUUGGCAAAUGGCAACUUAGGCAGCUCCAUGGAUGGUGGAAUUUGUUGCCAGGUUGAUGCUCAUCCUGUUACAAAGUCCUCUCUAUCCCCAGGGGCAUCCUUUCUGCAGCUUCCUCCUCAUAGACCAGAUGUCUCGCGGAAACUACUCAAGCCAAGAGCAAUAAGCUUCUAAACAUCUCAGAGGUAUACACAGGGCGGUAAAUGAGGAGGAUAUAUGUGCCAUACAACAUGAAAAAGCCUUAUUUCCUAUUGGAUGCUUCCAUUAAUUCAGACAAUGCGUUUUAUUGAAGCUAGCUGAGCCGGAUGGAAUGGAACGAACUUCAUCGAAGAAUGUCGAGAGGGGCUUCCAUAUUCACAAUGCACCAUCUGAUGGAACCGCCACAUACACGUUAAUAUAAGCACAUAAACUGAUUAUGUUUAUUAAGUACUCCUAUGAUGCAGAUGUUUAAUGGAUGAUAAGUGGAGUUUAGCAUAUGGAGAAUGUUAAGUA